AUGAAGCUUGUAAGGGUUGUCUCCCAAACCUGUGAAAAGGAGAAAGAGUGUAAAAGGGUAGUUGGUCUUUGCCUAUUGAAGGAAGACCGGUAGUGGAAGCCGGUGGCCUCGAGUGAAGAGGAAUCUAUAAUGGAUGUAGGUCACGACGACCGAACCACUAUAAAUCGAUUUGCAUUUUUGUUUUGCUAUUUUCCUUUAUUGCAAACUGCUUUACUUCCUCAUUAAUUUAGCUGCACACUCUUACGAACGUUUUCAAAGUUAAACAUUGUCGAAACGAUUUUAUCGUACGAAGAUUUUCAACUCGACGUGAUUUUUACAUACCAUUAAUUCACCCCCAACACCCCCCUCCCACCCCCCCUCCCCCCCCACCCUCUCAUUCGAUCCUAAUAGUUGGUAUCAGAGUCACGUUUUUCUCAUUUUGGUUAACACCAAAGAGAAAUAACUCUUUUAUAUGAAGCCAAGUGACAUGUACACUCGUUUUACGGAUGUCGUCAAUAGUUUAAAAGCACUUAGUAAAAGCUUUUUAAAUCUUGAACUUGUCAAUAAAAUUCUACGUUCUCUCCCUAAAAAUUGAGAUCCUAAAGUAACUGUAAUAUAAGAGGUAAAAGACUUAAAUAAGUUCUCACUCGAAGAACUUUUUGAGUCAUUAAUGACCUAUUAAAUGAUGUGCAAGACACAUGAUGAACUUGAUGAACAUGAGAACAACCUUUCAAAGAAUAGGAAAGAUUUGACACUUCAAACAAUAGAAUACCACUUGAGUGAUAACUCUAAGUGAUGAUGAUGAUGACCUUGAACUUCUCACAAUAAAAUUUAAAAAGUUCUUAAAACAAAAAUCAAAGAAUAAAAAUAAACUUAAAAAGAAGAAUCUGCCAAAGAAGAAGAAAGUUUUCGAGGUUGCUUGGGACGAAUCGAGCUCAUUCGAAGACGAGAGGCAAACCAACAAAGACAAGGUGACGAAUUAUGUCUUAAUGACUUUCGACAACGAGAUAACCAAAACCCCCUUAGUUUACUAGGAAAUUACUUGAUGCAUUUCAUAAAUUGUUUUUAAAUUAGUAUAUAAAAUAUAAAAAAAUAAAUAAAAGAGGAUCAUGCUUUUCUUGCUAGUGUUUUUGAAAAAUUAAAAAAAAUUGAUCAUGACAUUUGUUUUUCUUUAUGAUAAAGGAUCAAAGUAUUAGAUUUAAAUCUAAUGCUUGUACACCUAAUAAUAUUAAUCGUAUGUAUGCUUUUAAGAAACAAUAAUGUGUAUCUUGAUGAUUUUUGUAUUGCUUUUUUAUUUUGAUUGAAAAUACUUUAUGUUUAAUAAAAACAUGUUUGCUGUUUUAACGAUGUAAUGAAGUAAUAAUAUGUAUAUUCUCAUAUUGCUUUUCAAUUAUAAAUGAUGAUGCAUGGCCUUUGUAUGAAAAACUAGAGCAUGAAAUCAAUCAUAAAAUUUGGAACUAAAAGAACUAGAGUUAUUUUUAAUCUUAUAGGAAUCUAUCUACGUUGCUUUCAUUGAAUUUUUCGAAAAGUAAUUUUGAUGAUGAUUCAUUUUAAUAAUGAGAUGAUAUAUAUCCAAAUGAAUCAUUUAUCGAUGUUUGCGACAUGAGAUUUAUUUUAUAUGAAAUAUUUUUUCUUGAUUCACGUAUGAUUUACUCGUCUAAGAGAAGAUUUAUCCAAAUGAAUCUUGAUUCUUGACAUUAAUAAUUUAAGAUUUAUUUGAAUCAAAAUAUCUUAUUUGAUCUCCUAUGAUUCUAUUCAUUAUUUAUUAAAAAGGAGAUUUGUGAAGAUGAAUCAUUCAUGAAUUGAUCUUUCAUAUUAAUAUCUUUCAUGUCAUUUUUUUUAUAUGACUCAUUUGUAAUUAUGAUUUGUAUUUCUCAUGAUAUAAUUGAAUCAUUGAUUAAAAAAAAAGAUAGAUUAAUGAAUCUAUCUAUGUCUUUUUUUAAUAAAUCUCUUGAAAAUGAUUUUGAUGAUUUGACGAUUUGAAUUUGAAUUAGUCUUAUCUAUAACAUGAUCUUAAUUUUUUUUGAAUUAUAACAUGAUAUUUUUUAUGAAUUAAGAUCAUUUACUAUGACUCUUCCUUUCGCUGUUUGAGUCAUCCAAAAAGAAUCAUAAUUUUUCUCUUAAUUUUUCGACAUUCACAAUUUGAAAUUUGGUUCAUGACUCUAUUCAUGAAGUAUAUAUCUCAUCAUCCAAUUAUUUUUUUCUUGAUAUUUUUCAUGUGAUGAUAUGAAAUUUUGCAUGAAAUACUCAUGAUAUUAUGUUGAUGCAUUCAAAUGAGAAGUUAUGAUCUAUGCUUGGUAGGAUGCAAUGUAAUUUGAUAUUUUGAUAUCAUCAUAAUUUGAAAUAUUUAUGAUUUGGAAUGAUACAUACAAUACUUAUGAUUUUUUUAUGAAAUGAUGUGAAAGUUAACAACUAUCAUUUUCUGAAAUGAUACCUUAUUUCAGUAUGCCAUAUUGAAAUAAGACUGAUACUUUAUCCUUCUCAUGAUUUAGAAUUUGAUGUAAAGGGAAAAGAAUUACAACAUUGUAUUCUUCCCUUCUUUUUGAUAAUGAUAAAAUGGGAGAAAAAUUUGCUAACUUGCACAUUACAAAAGGAAAACUUGCUAGGAAGCAAAAUUGCUAGAUUGCACUUCUCAAAAGAGAUGAAAGAGCUUGUUAUCUUGAACAUCACCAAGAAUUACUAGAUUGCAAUCUCAAGAGAAGCAAAAGUGUUAUCUUGCUUAUCUCAAGAAGCAAUUCUCGCAAACUUUCAUAUCUCAAAAAAAGAAGCUAAAUUUACAAACUUGCACAACUUAAAAUUGUUGCUAGUUUGUAUGUUGUAAAACUUACAUAUCUUAAAAACUUACUGGAUGCACUUCUCUUUUUUUGUUGAUGACAAAGGAGGAGAAGUAAUGAGGAUGAUUUGAAUCAUGUGUGGUAUGAUGCAUUUUUAUAUUUUGAAACAUUGCAUGAUUUUUUGAAUUUAAAGGUUCUAUCAAUAUGACAUAUUUAUAGGGGGGUUAAGGUUAACUCCGUCAUCAAUUGGUUGCCAUCAUAAAAAAAGGGAAGAUUGUUGAAUCUCAGAUUUUGAUGAUGAAACCAAUUGAUAAUGUUAUGAUCUAAUCUGUAUUUUGAGUGACGCAGGACUAGCUUCGAUCAGGAGAGACAAAUUGAUUAAAGCAGGAGGAAUCGGAUGUUGGGCCGGAGUUAAACAUAUCAGAAGAUUGGACGUCGGGCCGGAGGAUCGGUAGACGUGUCGACAGAAGGCUUCGUGCCGUGAAUUCGAGCAUCGGGCCGAAAGAUCGGAUAUUGAGCCAAGGAGAUCGAAAGUUGCGGGUGUCAACAUGCCGAUUGGGCAAUACGCCGAAGGAUCAGACGAAGUAUCGGAAGAACCAAUGACAUGUCGGACAACGGAUGAUUUGUGCUUUGUAAUAAUUUGUCUAUCUCGAGUUAGUUUAGGUCGUAAUUGGGUUAGUUUAGAAUGCAAUUAAGUCAAUUCAAUUAGGGUCCAAUUGGGCCCAAAGUAGGAUUGUUUUGGGCCAAGAGAGAGACCCAUUUAGUGACCCAAAAAUUAGGUCAGGCGAUGGCACCGCUAGUGGCUCAAUCUCCGAGACACGGUCUCCAAGAUUGUGUCAGGCAAUAGUACCGCCAGAUUGAGCGGUGGUACCACCUAGACCACCGCCUAGUAUGGCGGUACUAUUGCCCAGACACAAUCUUCCAAUUUGUGUCAAGCGGUGGUAUCGCCCAGUGUCAGUGCUGCAUGCAGUAGUAUCGCUCAACACAGGCGUUGGUACCGCCAAGACCCGGGAAACCCAGGAUGAGAACUCUUUUGGCUCUAAUUUUGAAGUUAUUUGGGGUCUAUAAAUACCCCAGCUAUUCCUGCAUGGAGAAAUAAGAAUUUGAGCAGAAAUGUGUUGUUAUUCUAAGUUGAAAAAGUGCUAAAUGUCCUCAUCUUUAAGUUUCGGGCUUAGUCUAAAAGAGGUGUGAGGCUUGUAAGGGUUGUCUCUUAAACCCGUGAAGAGAAGAAAAUGUGUAAAAGGGUAGUUGGUCUUUGCCUAUUGAAGGAAGACCGGUAGUGGAAGCCGAUGGCCUCAAGUGAAGAGGAAUCGAUAGUGGAUGUAGGUCACGACGAUCGAACCACUAUAAAUCGGUUUGUAUUUCUGUUUUGCUAUUUUCCUUUAUUGCAAACUGCUUUACUUCCUCGUUACUUUAGUUACAUGCUCUUACGAACGCUUUCAAAGUUAAACAUUGUCGAAAUGAUUUUAUCGUAUGAAGUUUUCGACUCGACGUGAUUUUUACGUACACAUUCCCCCCCUUUUAGUGCAG
rnacentral:lncRNA from 1 species